UACGAAUAUUUUUAACAAUUACUUUAUACUAUUCUACAAUUAACUUAAGUAUUAAAAAAAUAACAUUGGCUUUUAUAUUUUUAAAAAUCUAUAGGUACCUACACAGUUUUUCUUAUUUGUUAUAUAUUUCUUUGGAUAGAUUUACUUUAGAGAUGUAAUAAUAUCUAAUAAACGAAAUAUUGAUUAAAUAAAAAAUAAAAAAAGUAAAGAUUGGUACGGGAUUCGAACCAGGAUUAUCCACGUCCGAAGACAAACGACCAGUUCUCGUCGCCAUCCGCUCGAACUGUCAAACCAUCUAAAAUACUCGACGACAGAGUAGGAUAGUGACGUCGUCGAUACUCCCCUUGAAUUAGAAAGAGACUACCGACCAAAUAGGCUCAUUUAUCUCUGUCGCAACCGUCACCCAUUUUAAGAUCGUAAGGCGCAAUCUAGAGUAUUAUAUAUCUAUGGCUAAGGCAUAUUUAUUAUGUCAGGUUAUGUUAACCUAACCUAAUUUAUUUGGUUAGGAACUUUCCUUCCAGCUCGAGUACAGUUUUGAUGUGAUAAUUCAUUGCAAGACAGUUUCAUUUAGAUUUUUUUUUACUUAUUUUUGGUGUUGGAGCUUAGUGUGGUUUCCUGUUAUCUUAUUGAGAAGCUGCAAUAAAAAGUGAAAAAUGUAGUGAUAAGAAGGUGGCGGAGCAAGAAAUUGGACGAUGGUUGAGGAGAGCCGGGGAUCGCUUAAAAACUUUCAAGGAAAAGGAAUCAGAAUAAAAAUUGAAUUUAUUUAUUUUUUAAAUAAUAAAGAUAUAUUCACCUA